GCUUGCUCAGUUGGUAGAGCGCACCCUUGGUAAGGGUGAGGUCCCCAGUUCGACUCUGGGUAUCAGCACCA
rnacentral:tRNA from 1 species